AGUGGUGCCGCCUACUCCGCCGCCCGGCCGGGCUGAGCCGGCAAGGGGAAGCCGCAGCGGGCUGCGGUCCGCGCCGCUGAAGGGAGCUCGCGGCGGCCUCCUCGGCUGCCUCGUGCGCUGUUCUGAAAGGUCCCGGGACCCCGAGGAGCGGAGGAGAGAGCCACCUCUAACAACGCAGAUUCUGGGUCAGCACGUGGGGUGCCGUGAACCGAGCGCUCAAGCCCCAGUGUUACACCCGCAGGAGGGUGCGGGGGAGCCCCGAGUCCGGGAGAGGGCCGGUCCCCCUGUUCUGGGGUCUCCCCUCGGCCACCCCGCACAGUCGUCUGGAUGCCCGGGUCAGGAAACCCCUGUGCACCUCCCCGAGUCAUUUUCCGAGAAGUACGCGGGCCUCUCACUGUUGUGGCCUCUCCCGUUGCAGAGCACAGGCUCCGGACGCACAGACUCAGCAGCCAUGGCUCAUGGGCCUAGCCACUCCGCGGCAUGUAGGAUCUUCCCAGACCAGGGCACGAACCCGUGUCCCCUGCAUCAGCAGGCGGACUCUCAACCACUGUGCCACCAGGGAAGCCCCUCAAACAUGUAUUUUUAAAUUAAAAAAAUUUUUUU